GAGGAACGCUGGCGGCGCGCCUAACACAUGCAAGUCGAACGGAGUCAAGAGGAGCUUGCUUUUCUUGACUUAGUGGCGAACGGGUGAGUAACGCGUGAGUAACCUGCCCUGGAGUGGGGGACAACAGUUGGAAACGACUGCUAAUACCGCAUAAGCCCACGGAUCCGCAUGGAUCUGCGGGAAAAGGAUUUAUUCGCUUCAGGAUGGACUCGCGUCCAAUUAGCUAGUUGGUGAGGUAACGGCCCACCAAGGCGACGAUUGGUAGCCGGACUGAGAGGUUGAACGGCCACAUUGGGACUGAGACACGGCCCAGACUCCUACGGGAGGCAGCAGUGGGGGAUAUUGCACAAUGGGGGAAACCCUGAUGCAGCGACGCCGCGUGGAGGAAGAAGGUUUUCGGAUUGUAAACUCCUGUCGUUAGGGACGAUAAUGACGGUACCUAACAAGAAAGCACCGGCUAACUACGUGCCAGCAGCCGCGGUAAAACGUAGGGUGCAAGCGUUGUCCGGAAUUACUGGGUGUAAAGGGAGCGCAGGCGGACCGGCAAGUUGGAAGUGAAAACUAUGGGCUCAACCCAUAAAUUGCUUUCAAAACUGCUGGCCUUGAGUAGUGCAGAGGUAGGUGGAAUUCCCGGUGUAGCGGUGGAAUGCGUAGAUAUCGGGAGGAACACCAGUGGCGAAGGCGACCUACUGGGCACCAACUGACGCUGAGGCUCGAAAGCAUGGGUAGCAAACAAGAUUAGAUACCCUGGUAGUCCAUGCCGUAAA
rnacentral:rRNA from 1 species